rnacentral:rRNA from 1 species
AGUGAACGCUGGCGGUAGGCCUAACACAUGCAAGUCGAACGGCAGCACAGUAAGAGCUUGCUCUUACGGGUGGCGAGUGGCGGACGGGUGAGGAAUACAUCGGAAUCUACUUUUUCGUGGGGGAUAACGUAGGCAAACUUACGCUAAUACCGCAUACGACCUACGGGUGAAAGCAGGGGAUCUUCGGACCUUGCGCGAUUGAAUGAGCCGAUGUCGGAUUAGCUAGUUGGCGGGGUAAAGGCCCACCAAGGCGACGAUCCGUAGCUGGUCUGAGAGGAUGAUCAGCCACACUGGAACUGAGACACGGUCCAGACUCCUACGGGAGGCAGCAGUGGGGAAUAUUGGACAAUGGGCGCAAGCCUGAUCCAGCCAUACCGCGUGGGUGAAGAAGGCCUUCGGGUUGUAAAGCCCUUUUGUUGGGAAAGAAAAGCAGCAGGUUAAUACCCCGCUGUUCUGACGGUACCCAAAGAAUAAGCACCGGCUAACUUCGU